GGCGGGCGGCGCGCGCCAGCGGCCAUGGCAGGAGCGUGAGGGACCGGCCGCCUCCCGCCGCCUCCCGCCGCCCCUCUACGGGAAUCUUGUUCUCCCCCCCUGCCCAGCCGCCGACACACCGCCGUCGGGCGCGUGCUUCCCCUCAGUUCCCGUAGAUGCUCGUGUGAGAACGCGGCAGAAAGCGACGCUGCCCCCAGGGAAAUGUCAGAGGCGUCAGGGAGCCCCAGCAGUCCCAGCUCUGCUCCAAAGGAGACAUUUGUGUAGGUACAAGAACAGUUCCCAGCGCAGCCCAAGCCGCAGGGAUGAGGACACUGAAGUGAUGAUGCAGUUGCUCAAAAAUGAACUGUUUUCAAUGUCUGUGGGAACAGGACAAGCAGCAAUGGACUCAAGUAGCAGCAAGGAAAACUUUUUCUUCAGACAUGAGAUGACAUGGAAGAGGUAAGAGAGGAACAUCUGAACAGCAUGAAGAGCUUUGUCUCUAAAGGCUUUUAACACCUCUGCCAAGCAGCAGCAGAAGCCUCAUUCUGAACAGGAGAAACUGCCAGCAACUCAGAAGUGCUUCCACACAA